GGUCUAGAGAUAGAUCAGGCCUUCGGGACAGAAGAGACAGGUGGUGCAUGGUUGUCGUCAGCUCGUGUCGUGAGAUGUUGGGUUAAGUCCCGCAACGAGCGCAACCCUUAUCAUUAGUUGCUAACAUUCAGUUGAGAACUCUAAUGAGACUGCCAGUGAUAAACUGGAGGAAGGUGGGGAUGACGUCAAAUCAUCAUGCCCCUUAUGACCUGGGCUACACACGUGCUACAAUGGCCGGUACAAAGAGUUGCGAAACUGUGAAGUUAAGCUAAUCUCAUAAAGCCGGUCUCAGUUCGGAUUGUAGUCUGCAACUCGACUACAUGAAGUCGGAAUCGCUAGUAAUCGCGAAUCAGAAUGUCGCGGUGAAUACGUUCUCGAGUCUU
rnacentral:rRNA from 1 species